GACGGAGGAUGCAAGUGUUAUCCGGAAUCACUGGGCGUAAAGCGUCUGUAGGUGGUUCGAAAAGUCCACUGUUAAAAAUUGAAGCUUAACUUCAAAGAUGCCGUGGAAACUUUCAAACUAGAGUGUGGUAGGGGUAGAGGGAAUUUCCAGUGGAGCGGUGAAAUGCGUAGAUAUUGGAAAGACCACCAGUGGCGAAGGCGGCUUGCCAGAACGCGCUCGACGGUGAGGGAUGAAAGCUGGGGGAGCAAACCGG
rnacentral:rRNA from 1 species